GUGCUUACUUUGGCAGCACAUAUACCAAAAUUAGAACAAUACAGAGAAAAUUAGCUUGGUCCCUGCACAAGGAUGACAUGGAAAUUUGCAAAGCAUUUGAUAUUUAA